rnacentral:rRNA from 1 species
AGAGUUUGAUCCUGGCUCAKAACGAACGCUGGCGGCGUGCUUAACACAUGCAAGUCGAACGGGAUUCGGAGCUUGCUCCGAUGAGAGUGGCGCACGGSUGAGUAACGCGUGGAUAACCUGCCCUGGUAUCCGGAAUAACAUCUCGAAAGGGGKGCUARUACCGGAUAAGCCUACRGGGUCUUCSGACUCUGCAGGAAAAGGUGGCCUCUAUUUAUAAGCUACCGUAUCAGGAUGGGUCCGCGUACCAUUAGCUAGUUGGUGGGGUAAUGKCCUACCAAGGCGACGAUGGUWAGCUGGUCUGAGAGGAUGAUCAGCCACACUGGAACUGAGACACGGUCCAGACUCCUACWKKAGGCAGCAGUGGGGAAUUUUGCGCAAUGGGGGAAACCCUGACGCMSCAACGCCGCGUGAGUGAUGAAGGCUUUCGGGUCKUAAAGCUCUGUCAGUAKGGAAGAAAUGGAAACGGUUAAUACCCGUUUUUCUUGACGGUACCUACGAAGGAAGCACCGGCUAACUCCGUGCCAGCAGCCGCGGUAAUAC